CCUGGCUUAGGAUGAACGCUAGCGACAGGCCUAACACAUGCAAGUCAGGGGCAGCACAAGGAGCAAUCUGAGGUGGCGACCGGCGCACGGGUGAGUAACACGUAUGCAACCUGCCUGUAAGCGGGGAAUAACCCGUUGAAAGACGGACUAAUACCGCAUAAUACUAAAUUACUGCAUGGUAAUUUAUUUAAACAUUUAUGGCUUACAGAUGGGCAUGCGCAUGAUUAGCUAGUUGGAGAGGUAACGGCUCCCCAAGGCAACGAUCAUUAGGGGUUCUGAGAGGAAGGUCCCCCACACUGGUACUGAGACACGGACCAGACUCCUACGGGAGGCAGCAGUGAGGAAUAUUGGUCAAUGGACGAGAGUCUGAACCAGCCAAGUCGCGUGCAGGAAGAAUGUCCCUAUGGAUUGUAAACUGCUUUUGCAGGGGAAUAAAGUGCAUCACGUGUGAUGUUUUGUAUGUACUCUGCGAAUAAGGAUCGGCUAACUCCGUGCCAGCCGCGGC
rnacentral:rRNA from 1 species